rnacentral:misc_RNA from 1 species
AGCUGCUUUGGAAUGAAUUUGCUUAUAAACUGCUUUGGAAUGAUUUUUUUUGGGGGGACAACAGCAGGAUUAGGGCCAUCUUCUAGAUGCCAUCAGGUAGGUGCGCUAGCGUAGUCGUUUAUUGUAGCAUUAUAUCCCUUUUCCCCCUUUUUAAAAAAUGUUUGUAAGACGCCUGAAAUUUGUAUAAGUUAGUUAUAUAAGUAGUUAAAUAAGAAUUGGUGAGACUUGAAAAAUAGAAGAGGAGAGAGAAGAUGGAAGAGGAUUGCUUUGAAAUAGAAGGAAAGGAGAUAGAAGAUGUUUGAGAGAAAGAGGAUGAUUUGUUCGCUGUAACGGAAGUUUUUUGAAUGAAAUUUGGAGCAACUGUAUUAAGAUGUUAUUGGUAUCUUGGACAUCAAGUUUCAUUUAUUUAUGUAUUAUACAAGCAUAUCUAUUGGAAAUGUAGAAUGGCAGCUGUUAUAACUACUUGGAUGAAUUAUUAGAAACACCCAAGAAGUUUUGACAUAAUUUAAACUGGGAGAAGGCUCACAAAUGACCAAUUUAUUCUAGAGUAGAUACAGGACAUUAAAUUGACUUCAACAUCGCAGAUAUCUCUCAAAAAUGAUAUCUGUUCGAGCGAUGUACUGGGCGUUAACAGUUGCUGUUACAAAUCUGCAAAUGAGUUAGUACUGUACAUAAGUUGCAGGAAUGCCAAGGAAUUUUUUGAAUAAUUACUGUUGCUUUAUGAAAAUGUAAGCAAUACAAAUUGGUAUUAAUGGACGUUUUGACAGCUGUUUCCAGUCCAAGUUCCAGUUUUAAUGGAAAAUCUUUAAUGGACACAGAAAUAAAAUGCCAUUUACUGGAUUGACUUCAACACCUGUUGUCUUUUAAUAAUGAUAUACAAUGGGACAAUUGGUGUUAGAAGUCAACAAGUAGUACUAAUUGCAAAUAAUAUAUUAUGGCGGACAUCAAAAAGCUUUAAAUGGAAUGAAACUUGCAGAAAAAGACUCAGAAAGACCAUUUAGGACGCAGAAAAAGACUCAGAAAGUCCAUUUAGAACUGUACUUAAUAGAUGUUAGAGUGGAUGCAGUCCUUCAUCAAUGUGAGCUGAACAAAUUGAUGGUAAUGGACAUUUUGACAGCUGCUGUCACAACUCAACGAACAAGUUGCAGCUUUGAAGGAAAAUUUUUGAUUGGAUACAGAAAAAUGUCAGUCAUUUCAGGACGUAAAGUUAAUAGAACCAGGGUUGGGCUCGACAUCUGUUGCCUUUUAAUAAUGGUAUACGCUGGGACAGUUGCUGUUAAAAAUCCACAAGCCGUACUAUCUGCAAAUAUUAUGGUGGACAUCAAAAAGCUUUAAAUGGAAUGAAACUUGCAGGAAAAGACUCAGAAAGACCAUUUAGAACUGUACUUAAUAGCUGUUGAAAAGUGAUCGCAGUCCUUUAUCAAUGAUAUCUCUGCAUUUUCUUAACAAUGGAUAUCAACAGUUUCUCCUACUCCUCACUUUCCUCUUUCGCUCAACAUAAAGCAGACUCAAUACUCCUCAAUGCCUCACCAAGGUUCGUUAGCUUCAUUAAUAAUGUUAUUGUUUCAAUAAAUUUGUUUAUUGGUUUUUAUCUUCUUACUAUUUAAUUAUAUCAGGCGUCAUUUUAAUGUUAAUUUUUUGUAAAAUUUUGAUAAUCUGGAUAGAAACCUUUUUUUUUCUUAAGCUUUUGCAAUAUAAAACACUAGUUAAGA